AACCUCUUCACCUUGAUCCAUUGAAGCUUCUGUUUGCAAAAGGAAUGAAAGAUCGUGACUCAUUUCUUCACAAUCCAAAGGUUUUGCUCAACUGCAUUUUUCUUCGAAACACUUCAUAUAUUGCUCCAUUUGCCUUGAUUGUGUGUGAUCUGAAGUCCUCUGUAUAGAGACAUCAUUAUUGUGUUCUUAAUUUUUGAAAUCAAGCAAGUUCAGUUGAAC
rnacentral:lncRNA from 1 species